UUCCGGUUGAUCCUGCCGGAGGUCAUUGCUAUCGGAGUCCGAUUUAGCCAUGCUAGUCGAGCGAGGUUAGCCCUCGCGGCGAACAGCUCAGUAACACGUGGCCAAGCUACCCUGCAGAGGGGGACAGCGUCGGGAAACUGACGGGAAUCCCCCAUACCGGUCUCACGCUGGAAUGCCGAGACCGACAAACGCUCCGGCGCUGCAGGAUGCGGCUGCGGCCGAUUAGGUAGUCGGUGGGGUAACGGCCCACCGAGCCGAUAAUUGGUACGGGGUGUGAGAGCACGAGCCCGGAGACGGAAUCUGAGACAAGAUUCCGGGCCCUACGGGGCGCAGCAGGCGCGAAACCUUUACACUGCACGAACGUGCGAUAAGGGGACUCCGAGUGCGAGGGCAUACAGUCCUCGCUAUUGUGUACCGUAGGGUGGUACACGACCAAGAGCUGGGCAAGACCGGUGCCAGCCGCCGCGGUAAUACCGGCAGCUCGAGUGAUGGCCGAUUUUAUUGGGCCUAAAGCGUCCGUAGCUGGCCCUGCAAGUCCGUCGGGAAAUCCACUCGCCUAACGAGUGGGCGUCCGGCGGAAACUACAGGGCUUGGGACCGGAAGACUUGAGGGGUACGUCCGGGGUAGGAGUGAAAUCCCGUAAUCCCGAACGGACCACCGAUGGCGAAAGCACCUCGAGAAGACGGCUCCGACAGUGAGGGACGAAAGCUAGGGUCUCGAACCGGAUUAGAUACCCGGGUAGUCCUGGCCGUAAACAAUGUUCGCUAGGUAUGACACAGACUACGUGUCUCUGUUGUGCCGUAGGGAAGCCGAGAAGCGAACCGCCUGGGAAGUACGUCUGCAAGGAUGAAACUUAAAGGAAUUGGCGGGGGAGCACUACAACCGGAGGAGCCUGCGGUUUAAUUGGAUUCAACGCCGGA
rnacentral:rRNA from 1 species